CAGUAGCCACGGUAAUACGGAGGGAGCUAGCGUUGUUCGGAAUUACUGGGCGUAAAGCGCGCGUAGGCGGUUACUCAAGUCAGAGGUGAAAGCCCGGGGCUCAACCCCGGAACUGCCUUUGAAACUAGGUGACUAGAAUCUUGGAGAGGUCAGUGGAAUUCCGAGUGUAGAGGUGAAAUUCGUAGAUAUUCGGAAGAACACCAGUGGCGAAGGCGACUGACUGGACAAGUAUUGACGCUGAGGUGCGAAAGCGUGGGGAGCAAACAGGAUUAGAUACCCCAGUAGUCCCUGUCUCUUAUAA
rnacentral:rRNA from 1 species